AGAUAAGUGGUCGAGAGGUUUAAGGCGUUAGUUUUGAAAACUAUUGUAUUUAAAUUAUAAUACCAUGGGUUCAAAUCCCAUCUUAUCUU
rnacentral:tRNA from 1 species